rnacentral:rRNA from 1 species
CAGUCGCCGCGGGAAUACAUAGGGUGCGAGCGUUAAUCGGAUUUACUGGGCGUAAAGCGUGCGUAGGCGGCUAAUUGAGUCGGAUGUGAAAUCCCCGAGCUUAACUUGGGAAUUGCAUUCGAUACUGGUUAGCUAGAGUGUGGGAGAGGAUGGUAGAAUUCCAGGUGUAGCGGUGAAAUGCGUAGAGAUCUGGAGGAAUACCGAUGGCGAAGGCAGCCAUCUGGCCUAACACUGACGCUGAGGUACGAAAGCAUGGGGAGCAAACAGGAUUAGAUACCCCUGUAGUCCCUGUCUCUUAUAC